rnacentral:rRNA from 1 species
AUGGACGAAGGGAAUGUGGCGCAGCAGCUCAAGCAGAUGACGGACUUCAUCCGCUUGGAAGCCGUUGAGAAGGCAUUCGAGAUCGAGGCCGCCGCCGCCGAGGAAUUCCAAAUCGAGAAACUACAACUGGUGGAAGCUGAAAAGAAGAAGAUCAGGCAGGACUAUGAAAAGAAAGAGAAACAAGUUGAUAUCAAGAAGAAAAUUGAAUACUCAAUGCAGCUCAAUGCUUCCCGAAUUGAAGUUCUUCAAGCUCAAGAUGAUUUAGUAAAGUCCAUGAUGGAUUCAGCACGGAAAGAGCUACUGUACCAAAGCCGAGACCAUCAAUCUUACAAGAAACUUCUCAGGAUACUCAUUGUUCAGAGCUUGCUGCGUCUGAAAGAGUCGGCGGUCAUUCUCCGCUGCAGGAAGGAGGAUCUUGAGCUUGUUGAGUCGGUCUUGGAAUCUGCGAGGAAUGAGUAUGCGGAAAAGGAAAAUGUAUAUCCGCCUGAAAUCAUGGUAGACCGCCAUGUCUAUCUGCAGCCUGCUCCCAGUCAUUACAAGGAACAUGACCUGUCCUGCUCUGGUGGAGUUGUAAUGGCUUCUCAAGAUGGAAAAAUCGUCUUUGAGAACACGUUGGAUGCUAGACUAGAAGUGGUUUUCAGAAAGAAGCUGCCAGAGAUCCGUCAAAGCCUUAUUGGGCAGGUAGCUGCAUGA